GGUGGAGUAGCCAAGCGGUCAACGGCAACAGACUGUAAAUCUGUCGACUUCGGUCUUCGAAGGUUCAAAUCCUUCCUCCACCA
rnacentral:tRNA from 1 species